GGAGUAAUUYUAAACGGCCGCGGAAUUUUAACCGUGCUAAGGUAGCAUAAUCAUUUGUCUUUUAAUUAAAGACUUGUAUGAAUGGUUUAAUGAAAUAAAGCUAUCUCUAAAAUAUUAAAUAAAAAUUAUUUUUAAAGUGAAAAAUCUUUAAUAAAAUAAAAAGACAAAAAGACCCUAUAGAGUUUAAUUUAUCUGUAUAGACAUAUAUACAUAUAAAUUUAGUUGGGGCAACUAAUGAAAAAAAAAAUUUCUUUUAAAAAAAAAAAAUAAAAUCAUUAAUUUAAUACUAUAAAACAAAUUACCUUAGGGGUAACAGCGUAAUUUUUUUUAARAGCUCAAGGCGAARAAAAAAAUUAC
rnacentral:rRNA from 1 species